UUUAAAUGUAAAUUAUUAUACUAAAGUAGUAAUAGUUAAGUUCUUUAAAUUUAAAGAUUUUGGCGGUAUUUUAGUCUAUUCAGAGGAACCUGUUCUGUAAUUGAUAGUCCACGAUUAAUUUGACUUAAUUUAUUAAUUUGUAUAUCGUCGUUUAUAAAUGAUUUUAGAAGAAUUUAAAUUUUUAAGAUUUUUAAUUAAAAAAUAUAUCAGAUCAAGGCGCAGUUUAUAAUUAAGAAGAAAUGGGUUACAAUAAAUUUAUUUAUAUGGAUUAAUAUGUGAAAUAGUAUUAUAAAGGAGGAUUUGAUAGUAAUAAGAUUUAAUUAAAUUUUAUGAUUUUAGCUCUAAAAUAUGU
rnacentral:rRNA from 1 species